rnacentral:rRNA from 1 species
AACGAACGCUGGCGGCAGGCCUAACACAUGCAAGUCGAACGAAGUCUUCGGACUUAGUGGCGGACGGGUGAGUAACACGUGGGAACGUGCCUUUAGGUUCGGAAUAACUCAGGGAAACUUGUGCUAAUACCGAAUGUGCCCUUCGGGGGAAAGAUUUAUCGCCUUUAGAGCGGCCCGCGUCUGAUUAGCUAGUUGGUGAGGUAAAGGCUCACCAAGGCGACGAUCAGUAGCUGGUCUGAGAGGAUGAUCAGCCACAUUGGGACUGAGACACGGCCCAAACUCCUACGGGAGGCAGCAGUGGGGAAUCCUGCGCAAUGGGCGAAAGCCUGACGCAGCCAUGCCGCGUGAAUGAUGAAGGUCUUAGGAUUGUAAAAUUCUUUCACCGGGGACGAUAAUGACGGUACCCGGAGAAGAAGCCCCGGCUAACUUCGUGCCAGCAGCCGCAGUAAUAC